rnacentral:rRNA from 1 species
GAUGAACGCUGGCGGCGUGCCUAAUACAUGCAAGUCGAGCGAACAGACGAGGAGCUUGCUCCUCUGACGUUAGCGGCGGACGGGUGAGUAACACGUGGAUAACCUACCUAUAAGACUGGGAUAACUUCGGGAAACCGGAGCUAAUACCGGAUAAUAUAUUGAACCGCAUGGUUCAAUAGCGAAAGACGGUUUUGCUGUCACUUAUAGAUGGAUCCGCGCCGCAUUAGCUAGUUGGUAAGGUAACGGCUUAUCAAGGCAACCAUGCGUAGCCGACCUGAGAGGGUGAUCGGCCACAUUGGAACGUAGACACGGUCCAGACUCCUACGGGAGGCAGCAGUAGGGAAUCUGCCGCAAUGGGCGAAAGCCUGACGGAGCAACGCCGCGUGAGUGAUGAAGGUCUUCGGAUCGUAAAACUCUGUUAUUAGGGAAGAACAAAUGUGUAAGUAACUAUGCACGUCUUGACGGUACCUGAUCAGAAAGCCACGGCUAACUACGUG